UAUAAGGGAUUUUGAGUUUUUGCUUAUACUGUUUGACCACUCGUCUUAUUCAAAAAAAUUUAGAAUUAUUAUUUAUUGUUUUUGUGACUUACUUUAUUAUCCAAAGUACUUUAAGCACAACUUUUCGUUUUUUAUAUUUGCACAAAUUUUUUGAAUAAGACGAGUGGUCAAACAGUGCAAACAAAAACUCAAAAUUCCUUAUAUU
rfam:Oryza sativa (indica cultivar-group) chromosome 7, whole genome shotgun sequence.